GGUGACGGCGUGCCUUUUGCAUAAUGAGCCUACGAGUUGCUCCUCACUGGCGAGGUUAAAUUCGUAAACGAAUGGAGCCGUAGCGAAAGCGAGUCCGAACAGGGCGGCUAGUCAGUGGGGGCAGACGCGAAACUUUGUGAUCUAUCCAUGGGCAGGUUGAAGUUCUGGUAACACAGAAUGGAGGACCGAACCCGUUAACGUUGAAAAGUUUUGGGAUGACCUGUGGAUAGGGGUGAAAGGCCAAUCAAACUGAGAGAUAGCUCGUUCUCCCCGAAAUGUUUUUAGGAACAGCCUCGUAUAUAGAAGUUUAGCAGAGGUAGAGCUACUGAUUGGGCUAGGGGGCUUCACCGCCUACCAAACCCUGACAAACUCCGAAUGCUGCUAAAUAUCUGCGGGAGUGAGGCUGCGGGCGCUAAGGUCCGUGGCCGAGAGGGAAAUAACCCAGAUUAGCAACUAAGGUCCCUAAUACAUGGUUAAGUUGAUCAAACGAGGUGGGAUUUCAAUAACAGCCAGGAUGUUGGCUUGGAAGCAGCCAUUCAUUUAAAGAGUGCGUAACAGCUCACUGGUCGAGAGAUCCUGCACGGAAAAUAAUCGGGCAUCAAACCAUGAACCGAAGUUCUAAAUUCAGCGUAAGCUGAGUGGUAGGGGAGCAUUGAAGUUGCAUCGAAGCUGUUGGGCGACCAAUGGUGGAGCGGCUUCAAAAGAAAAUGUAGGCAUAAGUAACGAUAAAAGAAGUGAAAAACUUCUUCGCCGAAAGUCUAAGGGUUCCUGAUCAACGUUAAUCGGAUCAGGGUUAGUCUGGUCCUUAGGAAAACCCGAAAGGGGCAUCUGAUGGAAAGAAGGUUAAUAUUCCUUCACCUGCUAUACAUUAAAAGUGACGCAUCGACGUGGUGGUUACGUACUGACAGAAUAGUGCGUUGAGAUGAACCUUCGGGGGAGUCGAAAUCAUAAAAUUGGUGCCGAGAAAAGCGAGUAUAGCGGCCAGUACCGCAAACCGACACAGGUAGACGGGAUGAGUAUUCUAAGGCGCUCGGGUGAGCCGUGGAGAAGGAACUAGGCAAAUUAACGCUGUAACUUCGGGAUAAGGCGUACCGCAGCGAUGCGGUCUCAGUAAAAUGGUUCAACCAACUGUUUAACAAAAACACAGGGCCCUGCAAAAUCGAAAGAUGACGUAUAGAGCCUGAAACCUGCCCGGUGCCGGAAGGUUAAGGAAGGAUGUUCGGAGCAAUCCAAAGCUUCUGACUGAAGCCCCGGUAAACGGCGGCCGUAACUAUAACGGUCCUAAGGUAGCGAAAUUCCUUGUCGGGUAAGUUCCGACCUGCACGAAUGGUCUAAUGAGUUGAACACUGUCUCCUCCACGAGCCCGGUGAAAUUGUAGUAUCGGUGAAGAUGCCGGUUACCCGCCACGGGACGGAAAGACCCCGUGAACCUUCACUACAACUUUGCAUUGUUUUUGAGUAACAAAUGUGUAGGAUAGUUGGGAGACUGUGAAGUAGUGUCGCCAGGCAUUAUGGAGUCAACGUUGAAAUACCAACCUUUUGUUACUUAGAAUCUAAUCCUGUUAAGGGAGACAUUGCAUGGUGGGUAGUUUGACUGGGGUGGUCGCCUCCUAAAAAGUAACGGAGGCUCGCAAAGGUACCUUCAGUACGGUUGGUAAUCGUACGUAGAGCGCAUUAGUAAAAGGGUGCUUGACUGUGAGACAAACAGGUCGAUCAGGAACGAAAGUUGGCUAAAGUGAUCCGGUGGUUCUGCAUGGAAGGGCCAUCGCUCAAAGGAUAAAAGGUACUCCGGGGAUAACAGGCUGAUCUUACCCAAGAGCUCAUAUCGACGGUAAGGUUUGGCACCUCGAUGUCGGUUCGUCACAUCCUGGGGCUGGAGAAGGUCCCAAGGGUUCGGCUGUUCGCCGAUUAAAGUGGCACGUGAACUGGGUUCAGAACGUCGCAAGACAGUUCGGUCCCUAUCUGUGGUGGGCGUUAGGAAAUUGAGAGGACGUGACCUUAGUACGAGAGGACCGGGUCGCAUGUACCGCUGGUGAAUCUGUUAUGCCGCUCGGUGUAUUGCAGAGUAGCUAUGUACAGUCAGGAUAAACGCUGAAAGCAUCUAAGCGUGAAACCUACCUCAAGAUGAGUUUCCUUUUAAGGGUUGUCAGAGACUAUGACGUUGAUAGGCUACAGAUGUAAAGUUGGUAACAACAAAGUCGAGUAGUACUAAUUGCCCGUAAGCUUUAAUUUU
rnacentral:rRNA from 1 species